rnacentral:tRNA from 1 species
UAGUUGAUAGCUGAGUGGUUAAGUGCUUGGCUUUCAAACCAAGGUGUCAUAGGUUUGAAUCUUUUAAAUUAA